rnacentral:misc_RNA from 1 species
GAGUGGCUGCGGCCGCGGCGUACUCAGCACGGCGCUCCCGCGCUAGUUUUUGCCGCUGCCGUCAGCAAGCGUGCUUCGCAUCUUGCGAACAAAAGAAAUCCGUUUAUCUCCGGCUACCGGAGCACGGGUUGGCUCACAAGGCGUAGGCUCUCUAGCUCGUGCAGCGGCACCCGGCUGCGGGGUACGCGUACAACUCGCGUGCCCUGCGCCUUGUGCCGCCCACGAAACCCCAGGUGGGGUGCGGCGACGGGAACGCCCGCGUCGUGUUCCGCCUUUGCCCUGCAAAAUCGGUUAACUUACGGGAGCACUAUCCAUAUGUUGUGUCCUUUGGUUGAGGCMGGUUCGGCUCGUGCCUGAACUUGGUGCUGACUUCACAGCACGUUCCCUGCAGCAGUGACGGGCUCG